rnacentral:rRNA from 1 species
AUUGAACGCUGGCGGCAUGCUUUACACAUGCAAGUCGAACGGUAACAGGGUGCUUGCACCGCUGACGAGUGGCGAACGGGUGAGUAAUGCGUCGGAACGUGCCGAGUAGUGGGGGAUAACGCAGCGAAAGUUGUGCUAAUACCGCAUACGUACUGAGGUAGAAAGUGGGGGACCUUCGGGCCUCACGCUAUUCGAGCGGCCGACGUCUGAUUAGCUAGUAGGUGAGGUAAAGGCUCACCUAGGCGACGAUCAGUAGCGGGUCUGAGAGGAUGAUCCGCCACACUGGGACUGAGACACGGCCCAGACUCCUACGGGAGGCAGCAGUGGGGAAUUUUGGACAAUGGGCGAAAGCCUGAUCCAGCCAUGCCGCGUGUCUGAAGAAGGCCUUCGGGUUGUAAAGGACUUUUGUCAGGGAGGAAAUCCCUAGCGUUAAUACCGCUGGGGGAUGACAGUACCUGAAGAAUAAGCACCGGCUAACUCCGUGCCAGCCGCCGCCGUAACAC